ACACUAUCAUUAACUACAUGGCUUUCAUUUCCGUUGCCGACACAUAAAUUAUUUUUGUAAAUUCUUACUUCACUUUUCCCCUUCAAUCUUCUUCGUUUUCUCCGUUUAACAUUUACACGAUGUUACAUUAAAAUUUCCACUUUUCAUUACGUUUGUUACACCCCUGCCACUUAACCUCUAGAUAUACAUACACUUUCUUACCUAUAGGAAGCAAAAUAGGUUGCUGGAUGUUUCCCCUUCAACAAGGAGUAGCAAACUUUCUCGUCCUCUUUCAUUGAUUUCAUGGUUAUAACAUCAGUUUCCUCCGAAUCUUAGCAAAGUACGGGAUUACUUCGUGGUGAAGUAAGGUGGAAAAGAGUAUUUCUUGGCACAUAAGGUAGCCCAUCUUGAAUUUAAGAUAUUCAUCAAAUGGAGUGGAGGUAGCAAUGAAAACUAUAUGCAUCAACGUGUUGUGUUUAUUUCCAAGUUGUCGAAGCCGCUUGUUUCUUAGAAGAUUGAGGAAGAGCGGACAAAUUCCAUCUCAUUUACGGUUAACGUGAGAAUUGGAUGGACUGGUUCCGUGGUAGCUAUUUAAAACGAAGUAUAUAAGACUUGCAGGUUCAAGAAAUGAGACAUGGGAUGAGUGAGUAAGCGAUGAGGUACAGAUACUCGCUUUGGUGAGCCGCCAGCUUAGGAUUCCCUUUCUGCUGUCUUGGAGAGCUCCGUCGUUCCGGAGCCUAGAUUUUGGUACCGACUUCCUGAUAUGCAUAUAUAUAUGUUUUUGUCCAUGGGUACGACGGGGCCCUGUCCCGUCAUAUGUUACUGUUGAUACUCUUAGAUGUCUAUAGACAUGUAUGUGGGUUGUGUGCAGAUGUGGUUAGUUGUGCCUAUAUGGUCAUUAUGGAUGUUCUAGCGCUGUAGCAGCCUUGCCGGCUUGCAUAUAUUAUCGUUUUGUUGUGGCAGCCUUGCCGGCUUGCAUAUAUUAUCGUUCUGUUGUAGCAGCCUUGUCGGCUUGCGUGGUAUUCUGUUAUGUAGUGGCAGCCUUGUCGGCUUGCGUAGAAUAAUAAUAUAUACAGUGGCAGCCUCGUCGGCUUGCGUAUGUCAUUACGUUGGGAUAGAUUGAGGACCUAUAGUAUCAGUCCGAUUAUGUCUGACAGGUACAUAUGGGUGCCCAGCUCUGGCACUAGUCAUGGCCCACGGGGCUGGGUCGUGAC